UCCCUCUGAAACUUUUUGAGCAGAGGGAUGGGGCUGUCUUUCUGCUGCAGGCCCGGGGCGACCUUUCAUUGAUUUCUUGGAUGCGCAGUGGGAGUGUGAGGGGGACCUGGUUCGAGUCAGCACUGAAACCCUUACCCCCCGAGAGCUUCUGAUCUACCAGCACGGCCAGUUUCUUCUCCAGCUGCUCCACUCACACAAAAUGAUUCCAGCAGUUAAACUACAGCUGGCCUCAAGUCUUCCAGCAAACGAUUAUGUCUGCAACGCCUUCCGCAAUUCCUUUUAUUACCAGGAGACAGAAGAGACACUAUAUGUUCGUCAUCAGAGGCUACAGUCUGUAGGAGGAUUUUCUCUGCUGCUCCUGCACUGUUCUGCUCACAUCUCCACCGGUCAGCUGAGUGUCGACACCACUCCCGGGUUCCAGAGGGCCUUCUUCAAGGUGCUACAAGAGUGUCUAAGUGAGCUGUUCGAUGCCAGACUGGCCCCUGAUUGGCUGGAAGGGAAGACACAAAGUGGAGCGGGCAGCAGCUCUGCUUUUAAUGGCCUCCUGCUGGAGAGGGUUCAGAAACCCAGCCAAGGGAUCCUGUCUGAGGACGUGAGUGCAGUUUAUUUAAUGAGACCUGUGGCUCGAUGUCCUGCUAGUUGUUGGCCGGUGAUUUGAGGGGCUUUAGGAUGAGCUAGGAACAUAGACUAUAUAUAUAAGUAUGAACAGCAUGAUAGGAGCUGUAAAGUAAUGCCACUACGUCUCUUACGCCCUCUGGUGGCUGGCUCCAGUAUGACUUUUAACCCCGCCUAUUUCCAUUUAACUGAAUGAGAGAUGGAGAAAUCUUUAAUCUAAAAUUACACAUCCCGGAUUUUAUUUUUGGGAAGUUGGGUUUUGUACGUUCUGUAAGCCCCCCUCCUGUGUUAAUAAAUAACCCCCAGUGUUUUUCUGUACA
rnacentral:lncRNA from 1 species